rnacentral:rRNA from 1 species
AUUGAACGCUAGCGGGAUGCUUUACACAUGCAAGUCGAACGGCAGCGCGGACUUCGGUCUGGCGGCGAGUGGCGAACGGGUGAGUAAUGUAUCGGAACGUGCCCAGUAGCGGGGGAUAACUACGCGAAAGCGUAGCUAAUACCGCAUACGCCCUACGGGGGAAAGCAGGGGAUCGUAAGACCUUGCCCUAUUGGAGCGGCCGAUAUCGGAUUAGCUAGUUGGUGAGGUAACGGCUCACCAAGGCGACGAUCCGUAGCUGGUUUGAGAGGACGACCAGCCACACUGGGACUGAGACACGGCCCAGACUCCUACGGGAGGCAGCAGUGGGGAAUUUUGGACAAUGGGGGCAACCCUGAUCCAGCCAUCCCGCGUGUGCGAUGAAGGCCUUCGGGUUGUAAAGCACUUUUGGCAGGAAAGAAACGUCGCGGGCUAAUACCCCGUGGAACUGACGGUACCUGCAGAAUAAGCACCGGCUAACUACGUG